CCAGAUUUGAAAAGUAGAGGAAAAUAAGGACAAAGAAGACCGUCAAACACAAUACCAUCUUGGAAAUCUAUCUAUCUAUUGCAGGUAGGAACAAGAAAACCAAUAUCAUUUGACACAAUGUGACAAACUAGAAGAAAGUAGAUGGGAGCACAGAUUUCCAAGGAUACAUUACUAGUCUAUUUAUAGCUGACAAGACCCAGGGGAUUUCUAUUGAACUUACCCAUCUGUUGCAAAAGAACUGAAGUCUUCCUUCUAUUGACCUGGUGUCUUAACAUAUUUGUUAUUGCUAAAUAAUUUCCCCUUAUCUGUGCUGAAAGUGUGGACUAUUUGGAUAUCUCCUUGUUUUAUGAGGAGGGAUGAAUGAAGGGAGGAUCUUAACUUUUAAAAGGUCUGAAGUUUCAAAGUGUUGUAUCUGUCCUUUCAAAGAAACAAAGUCAAAGCACCCACCCUCUCUUCCUUUACAAUGAAAGUGACACUCUGGACACCUAGCACUUCAGCUUGCUGAAAUGCUCUUCUGUGAAGAAUGUGUCCUCUAUUUUGCAUUUUCCAAAGUGUCAAUUUCAUUAAAAAAAAAAAAAAAGGCACUUUAAUAAAUUAACUUGAUUACACCCCCUGGCUUUUAAGCAGACAACCGGUCCUUUUACAUCUUGGCUAUCUAGUUCAGAGGAGCUAAACUCAAGAGGCAGGCAAUUAUCUGCCUUAUAAAUCUUUACAUACAGCUGCAUUGAGAAGUAUGUGAUUGGACAGCCACGGAAAUUCUGGACUGAAG